rnacentral:rRNA from 1 species
GACGUAGGGCGCGAGCGUUGUCCGGAUUUAUUGGGCGUAAAGAGCUCGUAGGCGGCUUGUCGCGUCGUCCGUGAAAACCUGCAGCUCAACUGCAGGCUUGCGGUCGAUACGGGCAGGCUAGAGUUCGGUAGGGGGAGACUGGAAUUCCUGGUGUAGCGGUGAAAUGCGCAGAUAUCAGGAGGAACACCGGUGGCGAAGGCGGCCUUCUGGACCAAUACUGACGCUCAUGCACGAAAAGCGUGGGGGAGCAAACAGG